rnacentral:rRNA from 1 species
GUCCUCUAGAUUAUAAUUUGAGGUCUAGCCUGCCCACUGAAUUUAUUAAAUGGCCGCAGUAAUUUGACUGUGCAAAGGUAGCAUAAUCAUUAGUUUUUUAAUUAAAAGCUUGUAUGAAUGGUUGGACAAAGUAAAAUCUGUCUCUAAAUAAAUUUAAUAGAAUUUAAUUUUUAAGUUAAAAAGCUUAAAUAAUAAUAAAAGACGAGAAGACCCUAUAGAUCUUUAUUUAAAAUUUUAAAAAUUAAAUUUAGAAUAUUUCAUUAUUUAUAAAAUUUUAAAUUUUAUUGGGGUAAUAAAAAGAUUAAAAUAAUUCUUUUUUUAUUUAACAUUGAUAUAUGAAUAUAUGAUCCAAUAUUUUUGAUUAAAAGAUUAAGUUACCUUAGGGAUAACAGCGUAAUUUUUUUAGAGAGUUCAUAUCGAUAAAAAAGUUUGCGA